rnacentral:rRNA from 1 species
AGUGAACGCUGGCGGCAUGCCUAACACAUGCAAGUCGAACGGCAGCACGGUUGUUUCUUGCUGGUACCGAGUGGCAGACGGGUGCGUAAUACAUAGGCAUCCGUCCCUUAGUUUUGGUGAGGCUUGAGGAAGCUGGACUUACACCAAAAUCGAAUAUCCCAUAAAAGUGGAGGACUUGGAUCUUUUGAGCUUUAGGGAUGGAAGAUGCCGGAUUAGCUAGUUGGGGGGGUAAAGGUCUAUCAAGGCGAAGAUCAGUAGCUGGUCUGAGAGGAAGAGCAGCCACACUGGAACUGAGACACGGCCCAGACUCCUACGGGAGGCAGCAGUGGGGAAUAUUGGACAAUGGGCGAAAGCCUGAUCCAGCCAUACCGCGUGUGUGAAGAAGGCCUUCGGGUUGUAAAGCCCUUUUGUUGGGAAAGAAAAGCAUCAGCUUAAUACGGAGCGGGUAUGACGGUACCGGAAGAAUAAGCACCGGCUAACUACGUG